GAUUCUUCAAACUAUAAUCGGUAAACAUUUUCAAAAUCAAAAUGUUUAAAAACUUCUUUAUUAUUUUCUUUGUCGCAACGUUCGUAGGCAGUAGUCUUCAGCAGGCAUCAGGAGGAAGCAGUGGCGGUGGAGCAGGUAUUGGAUUUGGUGCCAGUGCUUCUAUGGGCGCUAAUGUUGGAGGU
rnacentral:lncRNA from 1 species